AUUGAACGCUGGCGGCAGGCCUAACACAUGCAAGUCGAGCGGAUGAAGGGAGCUUGCUCCUGGAUUCGGCGGCGGACGGGUGAGUAAUGCCUAGGAAUCUGCCUGGUAGUGGGGGAUAACGUCCGGAAACGGGCGCUAAUACCGCAUACGUCCUGAGGGAGAAAGUGGGGGAUCUUCGGACCUCCCGCUAUCAGAUGAGCCUAGGUCGGAUUAGCUAGUUGGCGGGGUAAAGGCCUACCAAGGCGACGAUCCGUAACUGGUCUGAGAGGAUGAUCAGUCACACUGGAACUGAGACACGGUCCAGACUCCUACGGGAGGCAGCAGUGGGGAAUAUUGGACAAUGGGCGAAAGCCUGAUCCAGCCAUGCCGCGUGUGUGAAGAAGGUCUUCGGAUUGUAAAGCACUUUAAGUUGGGAGGAAGGGCAGUAAGUUAAUACCUUGCUGUUUUGACGUUACCAACAGAAUAAGCACCGGCUAACUUCGUG
rnacentral:rRNA from 1 species